ACAAACGGGCAGGAGGUGGGGGUGGGCACAGGACAAUGGGAAGACACUGUACUAACUAGUAAAAAGCACUUAGACUUGUGAUUUUUCUAGAGAUGUCCCCAGGGCUCAAGUGCUUUCCUUCUACUUUUUCCUUCACUUACUGGAUAAGUACCACUGAGUUAAUCACACCUGAAUGUACACCGUCCAGAGAGAAUUUAUGAAGGCAAAAGAUGAGGAUUCUGAUGAGGGGUGGUUUUCACUCUUUGGCUUGAAUUGGGAGAGAUGAAAGUAAAAUGGCUGCCUUUUAAGCUAGCUCCCUAACACUGGACAAAAUGGAUACCAGGCAUGUCUCACUUUUUUUUCUCGUUUUUUUUCCAGACCAAAUGGGCGGGAGAAGAGGAUGUAAGAUGGCGCUGCUGAGCUUAUGUAGAGCACUACUGCCCCCAAGUGGAAUUAUUUUUAGCAGAUGUGGCACCAUCAAGGUUUCUUUCCCAUAAACCCUAGCAAGGAAGAGGACUGGCCGCCAAAUUUAAGCUCAUUGUCUUCCAAGGCACCAAGAUACCAGAAAGUCUGGAUCCCCUAGGUUUGCCCCCAGAACCACCAGAAAGUUCAAUGCCAUGUAGAAGGCUGGUGGGUAAAGAGGGGCAGAAACCAGAAGACUUGGCCAUGUGGACACAGACUUCUUCAAAAAGAUAUCUAUCUGAUCAUAAAUGACAGUUGGUGCCUCAGGCGGGGCCUGUCCUGUCAAACCCUGUUUACUUAUGAAGAGCUUUCCUACACAUCUGAAUCUACAAGAAGCACAGUUCUUGCUCAACUCUCCAGACAACUGGGCGCACCUGAGACCAUACCAUACAGCACGCCUUCUCACGGCCUCUAGAACUGAUCCUUGCUUGCUGUUUCUACACCACUGCAAUGACAUAGCCAUCUGGCUUCGCACAGAAAUGUUACUUAAAAGCCUGCUUCAAGGGGCUGGAGUUGGAAAGAAGUGCCCAUGAAGAUGUCUGUAAUGAACACAGGUAACAGGAUACUCAUCCGCAUAGAGGACUUCAUCUGGAAAUCCUGUCAGUAACACCAGCAUCACAGGUUUAACAGGCCUACUUCAGCUGAUUUCUGAAGGAUGUUAUAAACAUUGAUUUGAUGGUGGUUUAUUAUCUACCUGUAUGGUACCCACACUCAUAGAAAACCAAAGGCACAGGUAUGGUAAAGCAUUCUCUGGACCAUACAGAAUAUAAAGAGACCUUUGUCUUGUGUUUUCUAUGAGGUUUGCCUGGGAUUUACAAAGCCUCAUUGUCAACAAUGUAUACAGGUAAUCUUAAUUGAUCACAUUAUGCAAUGCAUAUAGCUUGGAUUAAGCUAUCAUUUAAUAAGAUGUUACUGUGAUAUAAGGAAAGAAAUAAAAGGGAACUAAUAAGUAGAAGAGAUAUGAAAUAUUAUAAGGAUAUGGAUGGAAACUUUGUCCUUAGUUUAAAGAUCACUGGAUGUUUCCAAACUGGAAAAGAUAAAAGACAGUGGAAAGUCUGAAGAAAUCACAAAAGGUCUGAGUAGGUUAUAGAAAGUAUGGCAAAGAUGAGGGAUAGUGAUGAUGUAUGUAAGAUUAAAAUUUCUAAUGUCCAAUGUCCUGUUUAGAUGAAUAGCAUUCUCUUAAGGUAAAGAUAUGCGUUUGGUAUCUUUCACAAGGACUGACAUAAACAAUCAAAAUAGUCUAUCUAUGUAAGACUUAUUUAAAAGUGUUUGACUUUUGCCAACCUUUAAUGUUACACAAAAGCUAAAAGAUACCAGAUUGGUGUAACUGAUCUGGGUUUUUAAUAACCAUACUUAGAAGCCUAUACGAAUGUGAAUUGAGGCAUUAAAUGGGACUACAUUUUGGGCCUUGCCUUCAAAGGUCCUACAACUCUGGCAAGUCACCUGUCUUCCUGAUCAGAGAAGCUAUGGAGACUGCACAGGGUGGACUCUAACCAGGGGACAAUAGCAUUUGUACAUUUUAUGAACAGAAGAGUUGAUACAAAAAAAUGCCCUCAACGCUUCAAAAGAAUAUUGUCAGCAAUGCCUUGUGACUUAUGUGCAACAAACAGCACAACUAAUAAAUGAAAGAAAAACGACCAAGAAGCUAAAAGAAUGAGAGGGCCCUCCUCCCAAGCACAAAUGACCCUUGAGGACCAGAUACUCAACUGGCUUUGACAGUAAAAAGAAAGUUAUUUUACGCCAACUGCAUGGUCUUAAAGUAGUAGGAAAGUAUA